UACGUAGGGGGCUAGCGUUGUCCGGAUUUAUUGGGCGUAAAGAGCGUGUAGGCGGCCAAGUAGGUCCGGUGUGAAAACUCGAGGCUCAACCUCGAGACGUCGACGGAAACCGUCUGGCUAGAGUCCGGAAGAGGAGUGUGGAAUUCCUGGUGUAGCGGUGAAGUGCGCAGAUAUCAGGAAGAACACCUAUGGCGAAGGCAGCACUCUGGGACGGUACUGACGCUGAGACGCGAAAGCGUGGGGAGCGAACAGG
rnacentral:rRNA from 1 species